GGGCCUAUAGCUCAGUUGGUUAGAGCAACGGACUCAUAACCCGUCGGUCCUUAGUUCAAGUCUAAGUGGGCCCA
rnacentral:tRNA from 1 species